rfam:Homo sapiens chromosome 15, GRCh38 reference primary assembly.
AUCCCUUCGUAGUUCAUAAGCGUGAUGACUGAGUUUUUGCACUCCUGUGUGAAAUGUACCUCCCUCAAACCUUAUGACAUAUAUACAUUACCUGACUCACA